CCAAUUCCUGCGUAGAAAAAUCAUCACGUCGAAAUUUUGUUGGUUAUUAAGAUUAUUGCAGAAAUGUCUAAUUAUUUUUUGCGAUCAACUAAUAGUUCUAGACAUUUGUUGAUAGAUGAUCAAUACUUAGAUGCAACUGAUAAUGAUAAACGUGCGUUAAAAAUGUGGGAUGAAACUAUUUUCAAUAACGGACUCCAAUGAAGUAGUUUUAUAGAUGGCAGAUGCAAGGAUAAAGUUAAAUACGAUAAAUGCGACGAAUACUGGUCUUCUCUUUAUCGUUCUCGUCUCGAUAAUAUACAAUAUAGAUAUGGUUAUAUCGAAACAGUUCUACGCCAUUGUCAAUAUCGUUGAUGUAGCUUACUACUAGAUGAUACGAGUAAUGCUAGAACAGUAACGAGAAAGAGCUAGCAGUAAACGCAGACGACGUAGACGCUGAGAACUGGCUCUGUCCCGCUGCUGCUGUUACUGUUAUUUUUAACUCGACGCCGACGCGUCGAGUCCGUAGUCUAAAACCGUCUACCCUCCUUCCUCCCUGUACUCCACCAGAUCGAGCUUCUCUUCUCUACUUCUUCGUUUUCUUCUAUAUGACCCGAACGAUAGGAAAGACGAUUAGUGAAGUAAUCACUUUGAAUGGUAUUUCCAAAAUGAGGAAUUUUCUACUUUUAAAAAUGAAGAGCGAUAAGUUAAAUUUUAAUGGAAAAAUCCAUUAUUGAAAUCUAUGAUAAUUAGUUCUCGUAACUAUGCAAUUAGGAAUUUUUAAAACUUUUAUCAAUAAUUAUUAUAAAUUCGACUUCAAUUAAAAAUUUUUUCUUCAUUUUGUGUAUUUUUUUUAUAAUUACAUAUUAAACAAUGAUAAAAUUAUAAAGAUUUUAUUUUAUACAAUAAUUUUCUAAAAAUUAUUCGUUACUGAUUUUACUUAAUUUUUUAAUUUCCUAAGAAUAAAAUGUAAAUGUAAUAACAGGAAUUACCAUAUAAAAUUGCCGCGAGAAAGGUAUUUAUUAAAAAAGUUUUAGCAAUGUCCAUCACAAAAGAGUGCCGUGAGCGAAGGAAAAUUUGUUUCGAAACCCAGUUUUCCCGCCAGUCGAAUUGGCAACGCUGCGUAACCAGAGAAAAUCAAGAAAGAACGAGACAAUGCAAUACUGGCAACGUGGAAAAAAGAGAGGGGACGAAAAAGAGAGACCUCGAAACGUGGCAACGCAGCGCCAAUGCGUUGUAGACUCGGUUCCGUACUGAUACCCACGCUCUGAGGUCUCGCACGAUGUCGCUCUUGCGCCGAACAAAAUAUCUCUACACGAACUUUCUACUCGCAAGAAUGGGGUUGUCGGCGCAAUAAUCAUACAACAUUUGAGGGUGGAAUUUUCUUAUUUAACAUAAAAUUCUUUAUCUAUUUUUUAAUUUAGUAUCUAUAAUAUAAUAAGAUUAAAGAAAGAAAUGUUCCAUACUUAAUAUAAUAUUAAAAAUAUUUGAAUUGUAAAAUUAAGUUCUUUAUUUCUAACAUGAUAAAUAUAAUCAAAAAUAUUAUAUUUUUCUUUUUUCAUACUUGACAUAAAUAUUUUAACUGAUAUAUUAUUAAAAUUUUCUGAAAAAUGAUUAUAAA